rnacentral:rRNA from 1 species
AACGAACGCUGGCGGCAGGCUUAACACAUGCAAGUCGAACGCAUCCUUCGGGGUGAGUGGCAGACGGGUGAGUAACGCGUGGGAACGUGCCCUUCAGUUCGGGAUAACCCAGGGAAACUUGGGCUAAUACCGGAUACGUGCGAGAGCAGAAAGAUUUAUCGCUGAAGGAUCGGCCCGCGUCUGAUUAGCUAGUUGGUGGGGUAAUGGCCCACCAAGGCGACGAUCAGUAGCUGGUCUGAGAGGAUGAUCAGCCACAUUGGGACUGAGACACGGCCCAAACUCCUACGGGAGGCAGCAGUGGGGAAUAUUGGACAAUGGGCGCAAGCCUGAUCCAGCCAUGCCGCGUGAGUGAUGAAGGCCUUAGGGUUGUAAAGCUCUUUCGUCCGGGACGAUAAUGACGGUAGCCGGAGAAGAAGCCCCGGCUAACUUCGUGCCAGCAGCCGCCGUAA